rnacentral:rRNA from 1 species
CGGAGAAGGCUAUGUUGGCCGGGCGACGGUUGUCCCGGUUUAAGCGUGUAGGCUGGUUUUCCAGGCAAAUCCGGAAAAUCAAGGCUGAGGCGUGAUGACGAGGCACUACGGUGCUGAAGCAACAAAUGCCCUGCUUCCAGGAAAAGCCUCUAAGCAUCAGGUAACAUCAAAUCGUACCCCAAACCGACACAGGUGGUCAGGUAGAGAAUACCAAGGCGCUUGAGAGAACUCGGGUGAAGGAACUAGGCAAAAUGGUGCCGUAACUUCGGGAGAAGGCACGCUGAUAUGUAGGUGAAGUCCCUCGCGGAUGGAGCUGAAAUCAGUCGAAGAUACCAGCUGGCUGCAACUGUUUAUUAAAAACACAGCACUGUGCAAACACGAAAGUGGACGUAUACGGUGUGACGCCUGCCCGGUGCCGGAAGGUUAAUUGAUGGGGUCAGCGCAAGCGAAGCUCUUGAUCGAAGCCCCGGUAAACGGCGGCCGUAACUAUAACGGUCCUAAGGUAGCGAAAUUCCUUGUCGGGUAAGUUCCGACCUGCACGAAUGGCGUAAUGAUGGCCAGGCUGUCUCCACCCGAGACUCAGUGAAAUUGAACUCGCUGUGAAGAUGCAGUGUACCCGCGGCAAGACGGAAAGACCCCGUGAACCUUUACUAUAGCUUGACACUGAACAUUGAGCCUUGAUGUGUAGGAUAGGUGGGAGGCUUAGAAGUGUGGACGCCAGUCUGCAUGGAGCCGACCUUGAAAUACCACCCUUUAAUGUUUGAUGUUCUAACGUUGACCCGUAAUCCGGGUUGCGGACAGUGUCUGGUGGGUAGUUUGACUGGGGCGGUCUCCUCCUAAAGAGUAACGGAGGAGCACGAAGGUUGGCUAAUCCUGGUCGGACAUCAGGAGGUUAGUGCAAUGGCAUAAGCCAGCUUGACUGCGAGCGUGACGGCGCGAGCAGGUGCGAAAGCAGGUCAUAGUGAUCCGGUGGUUCUGAAUGGAAGGGCCAUCGCUCAACGGAUAAAAGGUACUCCGGGGAUAACAGGCUGAUACCGCCCAAGAGUUCAUAUCGACGGCGGUGUUUGGCACCUCGAUGUCGGCUCAUCACAUCCUGGGGCUGAAGUAGGUCCCAAGGGUAUGGCUGUUCGCCAUUUAAAGUGGUACGCGAGCUGGGUUUAGAACGUCGUGAGACAGUUCGGUCCCUAUCUGCCGUGGGCGCUGGAGAACUGAGGGGGGCUGCUCCUAGUACGAGAGGACCGGAGUGGACGCAUCACUGGUGUUCGGGUUGUCAUGCCAAUGGCACUGCCCGGUAGCUAAAUGCGGAAGAGAUAAGUGCUGAAAGCAUCUAAGCACGAAACUUGCC